rnacentral:other from 1 species
ACGGCGCUGCGGGGUUCGCCAGGUCUAAAUAUCCCUGGGGCCAAUAAAUACCUCUAGGGAGCUGUCCCUGCCGGGCCCGUGGGCUCGGUAUACGGCGCCCACCUGCAUCUGCAGGCCGCGGAGGAUCUUAAGACCAACGGCCCAGGUGGCCCGUC